rnacentral:ncRNA from 1 species
ACGAGCCACAUGCAGGGAAACUUGCACGUGUGGUUCUGGCCGGGCUUUCCUAGUAAACCCAAGAAAGGUCGAAGAGGCCAGCAAAUAAAAAGGAAUAUCGAAAAUUCGAGUGGCUGAAGCUGAAGCAGCUACUUUCGA